rnacentral:lncRNA from 1 species
AUCUGAACCUACAACUGACCCCUUUUCUUCCAUUCCCUUAACAGAUUAUCUUUCAUUUUCUUAUGUGGUCCGUUCGUUCAUCAUGUACUAUAAUCACAUUAAAAUUAACAGAGUAAAGAUUCCCUCUUAGAUACAAUGUAAAAGUGUGGUGAAUUGUGGAAAGCUGAGAGUGGAGAGGGACAAACCUGAUUUUGGGAUAGACCAGUCUGUGUUGCCAACAGAUGCUUAUCUGCAUCGCUCGGGUACCUGAGAAAGAGACCAGAAAAUGACAUCAGUUUCCUU